rnacentral:rRNA from 1 species
UGCAAGUCGAGUGCGCAGUUCUCUGUAGCAAUACAGGGGAUGGGCGCACGGCGCACGGGUGCGUAACACGUGGGCAAUCUGCCCUCGGAUGGGGGAUAACUCGCCGAAAGGCGAGCUAAUACCGCAUGACAUUCCUGGGACUCCGGUCCCGGGACUCAAAGGCCGCAAGGCCGUCUGAGGAGGAGCCCGCGCCCGAUUAGCUAGUUGGUGAGGUAACGGCUCACCAAGGCUUUGAUCGGUAGCCGGUCUGAGAGGAUGGCCGGCCACACUGGAACUGAGACACGGUCCAGACUCCUACGGGAGGCAGCAGUGGGGAAUAUUGCGCAAUGGGCGAAAGCCUGACGCAGCGACGCCGCGUGGGGGAUGAAGCUUCUCGGAGUGUAAACCCCUUUCGACCCGGACGAAUGACCCGCAAGGGUUUGACGGUACGGGUAUAAGAAGCCCCGGCUAACUACGUGCCAGCAGCCGCGGUAAUACGUAGGGGGCCAGCGUUGCUCGGAAUUACUGGGCGUAAAGGGUUCGUAGGUGGUGCGGCAAGUCGGAAGUGAAAUCUCUGGGCUUAACUCAGAGGCUGCUUUCGAAACUGCCGUGCUCGAGUGCGGGAGAGGCCAGUGGAAUUGCAGGUGUAGCGGUGAAAUGCGUAGAUAUCUGCAGGAACAUCCGUGGCGAAGCGGCUGGCUGGACCGCAACUGACACUGAGGAAUGAAAGCUAGGGGAGCAAACAGGAUUAGAUACCCUGGUAGUCCUAGCCCUAAACCAUCAGAACUUGGGGUGGCUCGCGUAGCGAGUCGUCCCGUAGCUAACGCGUUAAGUUCUGCGCCUGGGGAGUACGGUCGCAAGACUGAAACUCAAAGGAAUUGACGGGGGCCCGCACAAGCGG